rnacentral:rRNA from 1 species
UACGAGGGGUCCUAGCGUUGUUCGGAAUUAUUGGGCGUAAAGCGUGUGUAGGCGGCCAUUUAAGUCAGGUGUGAAAUCCCCGGGCUCAACCCGGGAAGUGCAUUUGAUACUGGAUGGCUUGAGUAUUGGAGAGGAUAGUGGAAUUCCUGGUGUAGUGGUAAAAUACGUAGAUAUCAGGAGGAACACCGGUGGCGAAGGCGGCUAUCUGGCCAUAUACUGACGCUGAGACACGAAAGCGUGGGGAGCAAACAG